rnacentral:rRNA from 1 species
GUUGUAUGGUUAAGUGACUAAGCGUACAUGGUGGAUGCCUUGGCAGUCAGAGGCGAUGAAGGACGUACUAACCUGCGAUAAGCUGUGAGAAGUCGGUAAGAGACGCUAUUACUCACAGAUUUCCGAAUGGGGAAACCCACCCGAGAUAACUCGGGUAUCUGUUACUGAAUACAUAGGUAACAGAGGCGAACCGGGAGAACUGAAACAUCUAAGUACCCCGAGGAAAAGAAAUCAACCGAGAUUCCCUCAGUAGCGGCGAGCGAACGGGGAUUAGCCCUUAAGCAUCUUGGAAGUUAGUGGAACGGUCCUGGAAAGGCCGGCGAUACAGGGUGAUAGCCCCGUACACGAAAACAACCUUGAUGUGAAAUCGAGUAGGGCGGGACACGUGACAUCCUGUCUGAAUAUGGGGGGACCAUCCUCCAAGGCUAAAUACUCCUGACUGACCGAUAGUGAACCAGUACCGUGAGGGAAAGGCGAAAAGAACCCCUGUGAGGGGAGUGAAAUAGAACCUGAAACCGUGUACGUACAAGCAGUGGGAGCCCUUCGGGGUGACUGCGUACCUUUUGUAUAAUGGGUCAGCGACUUACAUUUUGUAGCGAGGUUAACCGUAUAGGGGAGCCGUAGGGAAACCGAGUCUUAACUGGGCGUCUAGUUGCAAGGUGUAGACCCGAAACCGGGUGAUCUAGCCAUGGGCAGGUUGAAGGUUGAGUAACAUCAACUGGAGGACCGAACCCACUAACGUUGCAAAGUUAGGGGAUGACCUGUGGCUGGGGGUGAAAGGCCAAUCAAACUCGGAGAUAGCUGGUUCUCCCCGAAAGCUAUUUAGGUAGCGCCUCGGACGAAUACUACUGGGGGUAGAGCACUGUUUGGGCUAGGGGGUCAUCCCGACUUACCAACCCCAUGCAAACUCCGAAUACCAGUAAGUAAUAUCCGGGAGACACACGGCGGGUGCUAACGUCCGUCGUGAAGAGGGAAACAACCCAGACCGCCGGCUAAGGUCCCAAAGUUCUGGUUAAGUGGGAAACGAUGUGGGAAGGCUCAGACAGCUAGGAUGUUGGCUUAGAAGCAGCCAUCAUUUAAAGAAAGCGUAAUAGCUCACUAGUCGAGUCGGCCUGCGCGGAAGAUGUAACGGGGCUCAAACCAGGCACCGAAGCCGCGGAUUCACACUUAUGUGUGAGUGGUAGGGGAGCGUUCUGUAAGUCUGCGAAGGUGUAUCGAGAGGUAUGCUGGAGAUAUCAGAAGUGCGAAUGCUGACGUAAGUAACGAUAAAGGGGGUGAAAAGCCUCCUCGCCGGAAGACCAAGGGUUCCUGUCCAACGUUAAUCGGGGCAGGGUGAGUCGACCCCUAAGGCGAGGCCGAAAGGCGUAGUCGAUGGGAAGCAGGUUAAUAUUCCUGCACGACUUGUAAUUGCGAUGGGGGGACGGAGAAGGCUAGGUGGGCCAGGCGACGGUUGUCCUGGUGAAAGUGCGUAGGUGGUGUUUCUAGGCAAAUCCGGAGACACAACACUGAGACACGAGACGAACACACUACGGUGUGGAAGCCAUUGAUGCCCUGCUUCCAGGAAAAGCCUCUAAGCUUCAGAUUACAAGUCAUCGUACCCCAAACCGACACAGGUGGUCGGGUAGAGAAUACCAAGGCGCUUGAGAGAACUCGGGUGAAGGAACUAGGCAAAAUAGAACCGUAACUUCGGGAGAAGGUUCGCUCUUGAUGGUGAAGUCCCUUGCGGAUGGAGCUGUCGGGAGUCGCAGUGACCAGAUGGCUGGGACUGUUUAUCAAAAACACAGCACUCUGCAAACACGAAAGUGGACGUAUAGGGUGUGACACCUGCCCGGUGCCGGAAGGUUAAUUGAUGGGGUUAGCGCAAGCGAAGCUCUUGAUCGAAGCCCCGGUAAACGGCGGCCGUAACUAUAACGGUCCUAAGGUAGCGAAAUUCCUUGUCGGGUAAGUUCCGACCUGCACGAAUGGUGUAACCAUGGCCAUGCUGUCUCCACCCGAGACUCAGUGAAAUCGAAUUCGCCGUGAAGAUGCGGUGUACCCGCGGCUAGACGGAAAGACCCCGUGAACCUUUACUACAGCUUGGCACUGAACAUUGAACCUACAUGUGUAGGAUAGGUGGGAGGCUUUGAAGGCGUGACGCCAGUUGCGCUGGAGCCGUCCUUGAAAUACCACCCUUGUAUGUUUGAUGUUCUAACGCAGGGCCCUGAAUCGGGCUCGCGGACAGUGCCUGGUGGGUAGUUUGACUGGGGCGGUCUCCUCCCAAAGAGUAACGGAGGAGCACGAAGGUUGGCUAAUCCUGGUCGGACAUCAGGAGGUUAGUGCAAUGGCAUAAGCCAGCUUAACUGCGAGACGGACAGGUCGAGCAGGUACGAAAGUAGGUCAUAGUGAUCCGGUGGUUCUGAAUGGAAGGGCCAUCGCUCAACGGAUAAAAGGUACUCCGGGGAUAACAGGCUGAUACCGCCCAAGAGUUCAUAUCGACGGCGGUGUUUGGCACCUCGAUGUCGGCUCAUCACAUCCUGGGGCUGAAGUCGGUCCCAAGGGUAUGGCUGUUCGCCAUUUAAAGUGGUACGCGAGCUGGGUUCAGAACGUCGUGAGACAGUUCGGUCCCUAUCUGCCGUGGGCGUUGGAUGAUUGAAGGGAGUUGCUCCUAGUACGAGAGGACCGGAGUGAACGAACCUCUGGUGUUCGGGUUGUCACGCCAGUGGCACUGCCCGGUAGCUAAGUUCGGAAUCGAUAACCGCUGAAAGCAUCUAAGCGGGAAGCGAGCCCUGAGAUGAGUCAUCCCUGACCCCUUGAGGGUCCUAAAGGGCCGUUGGAGACCACAACGUUGAUAGG